GAGUGCUAGCCCUCGGGCCGGUUGGCCUUGCGGGGUGCAGGGGCAGAGCGGGGAAGGCGGUGGCUGUACUGACCCGAGUUCUCCUCGGCCUAGGGAGCGGCGGCCUCAGCCCCGGGACGCGUGAGGGCACGUUCAGGACCCCCAGGGCCAGGGGCUCCUGAGCCGCCCGCCUACGUGAACAUCCCCGUCAGCCCCUCGUCCCGGCAGCAGCUGCACUACAUGGGCCUGGAGCUGCAGGAGGCCGGCCUGGGCGUCCGAGGUGGGGGCUGGUGCCUCGCGUUACGCACAGAUAGACAUUUCAUCCACGGAGGCGGCACAUCGGGCUGGGGCCCAGCACGCCCAGGAGCGGCUGUCGGAGCUGGAGCAGCACAGGAGGGGCGGCCCACGGUGAGGCCCUGGCUGGACAUCUGCGGGGUGGCCUCUGUCUCCGGGAGCCUGGCCCUCAGAGCUCGGGCUGAGGCUGUGACCAGCACCCAGGCUGCAGCGGAGGGACCUCGGGCCCCGGUUCCUGGAGUGAUGAGGUGGAAGGCUCUGGGUCCAGGCCGGCCACCACAGCGAGGGGACCCACGCGAGGGCUCUUCUCCCUCUGGCUCCGUCCACUGGUGCCCGGCCAAGCCUCCCUGUCCAGAGAGGCGCUGCCCCCAGCUGUCACUCAGGCUGUGGAGCAGACUCUGAGCCUGGAGUGCAGGCUGCUCUCCCAUCGGGAUGAGGGACAGCUCAGAGGAAGGCAGGGCAAGCUGGUCCCCACCCUCUGGGACUUGGGCUGGGACGCGCUGCUCCAGCCUGGCCCUGUCCUCUGCACACCCCUCCGGGGGCCCCGCCUCUCGGGCUGCGGCGCCCUGGGCCUGAGGACUGAGGUGGCAGGGGUCGGAAGGCCUGUGGCCCCGGUCAGUGCCCGCGUGGCCCAGGGAUGGGCCAACUGCCGUGCUGCUCGGGACCCACAGUUAGCUCAGAGUGUGAACUCCUACUCUCCAUUUUUUCUUUUUGGUACCGGGGAUUGAACUUGGGUCCUUGCGCUUGCGCAGCAGGCAGCAAAACCACUGAGCUAACCCCGGCCCCUACUGUCCAUUUUUAACAAUGCAUAUUCUUUUCCUGAA
rnacentral:lncRNA from 1 species